UUCCGGUUGAUCCUGCCGGACCUGACUGCUAUCGGAUUGAUACUAAGCCAUGCGAGUCUUUGUAGUAAUACAAGGCAGACGGCUCAGUAACACGUAGUCAAUCUACCCUAUGGACGGGGAUAACCUCGGGAAACUGAGAAUAAUACCCGACAGAUCAUAAUGCCUGGAAUGGUUUAUGGUUCAAAUGAUUUUUCGCCAUAGGAUGGGACUGCGGUCUAUCAGCUUGUUGGUGAGGUAAUGGCCCACCAAGGCUAUAACAGAUACGGGCUCUGAGAGGAGAAGCCCGGAGAUGGGUACUGAGACACGGACCCAGGUCCUAUGGGGCGCAGCAGGCGAGAAAACUUUGCAAUGUGCGAAAGCACGACAAGGUUAAUCCGAGUGUUUUCUGCUAAAGAAAUCUUUUGUUAGUUCUAAAACCACUAUCGAAUAAGGGGUGGGCAAGUUCUGGUGUCAGCCGCCGCGGUAAAACCAGCACCUCAAGUGGUCAGGAUGAUUAUUGGGCCUAAAGCAUCCGUAGCCGGCUAUGUUAGUUUUCGGUUAAAUCCAUGUGCUCAACGCAUGGGCUGUCGAGAAUACUGCAUAGCUAGGGAGUGGGAGAGGUAGACGGUACUCUGUAGGAAGGGGUAAAAUCCUUUGAUCUAUAGAUGACCACCAGUGGCGAAGGCGGUCUACCAGAACACGUCCGACGGUGAGGGAUGAAAGCUGGGGGAGCAAACCGGAUUAGAUACCCGGGUAGUCCCAGCUGUAAACUAUGCAAACUCAGUGAUGCAUUGGCUUGUGGCCAGUGCAGUGCCGCAGAGAAGUCGUUAAGUUUGCCGCCUGGGAAGUACGUACGCAAGUAUGAAACUUAAAGGAAUUGGCGGGGGAGCACCACAAGGGGUGAAGCCUGCGGUUCAAUUGGAGUCAACGCCGGAA
rnacentral:rRNA from 1 species